GAUGAAGAACGCAGCGAAAUGCGAUACUUGGUGUGAAUUGCAGAAUCCCGUGAACCAUCGAGUCUUUGAACGCAAGUUGCGCCCGAAGCCUUUUGGCCGAGGGCACGUCUGCCUGGGCGUCACGCAUCGCGUCGCCCCCCACAAUUCUCCGUAAAGGGAACGUGUGUUUUGGGGGCGGAUAUUGGUCUCCCGUGCUCAUGGCGUGGUUGGCCGAAAUAGGAGUCCUUUCGAUGGACGCACGAACUAGUGGUGGUCGUAAAAACCCUCGUCUUUUGUUUCGUGCUGUUGCUCGCAAGGUAAACUCUUUAAAAACCCCAAUGUGUCGUCUCUUGACGACGCUUCGACCGCGACCCCAGGUCAGGCGGGACUACCCGCUGAGUUUAAGCAUAUCAAUAAGCGGAGGA
rnacentral:misc_RNA from 1 species